GUGCCAGCAGCCGCGGUAAUACGUAGGGGGCUAGCGUUGUCCGGAAUCAUUGGGCGUAAAGCGCGUGUAGGCGGCCCGGUAAGUCCGCUGUGAAAGUCGGGGGCUCAACCCUCGAAAGCCGGUGGAUACUGUCGGGCUCGAGUGCGGAAGAGGCGAGUGGAAUUCCUGGUGUAGCGGUGAAAUGCGCAGAUAUCAGGAGGAACACCGAUUGCGAAGGCAGCUCGCUGGGACGUUACUGACGCUGAGACGCGAAAGCGUGGGGAGCAAACAGGAUUAGAAACCCCCGUAGUCC
rnacentral:rRNA from 1 species